UAUUAUAAUCAAGUAAAGAGAAAGUUUAUUAAGCAUUUAAAAAGUAUUAACAUCAACAAAUCUAGUAGAUAUGUAGAAAAAAAUUCUAUACCAACAGUAUAUUCAAACAUGCGUUUAUAUAGUCUUCUUCCUACUAGAAUCACAAAGGAAGUCUCAGCAGUUAUGAUAGGGUCUCAAAGGACAUGUUGCCAGGCUAUGGUUCAAUGAAAUUUGAAGUAACAAUGAAAAGAAAUUUAAAACAAUAAUAAUAAUUAGGAAUUUUUAAAAACUAGUAAAAUAGUUUCUAAAUAACUCAAGCAUUCAGGAGGAAUUCACAAUAGAAAUGACAAAAUAUUUAGAAGUAAAUGAUAAUGAAAGCAUGUCAUAUCAAACUGUGUACAUUUGUCGAGGAAAAAUAAAAAAGCAGAGAAGAUAUUUUUGGGAUAACUGGCAAGAUUUAAAAGAUGCCUAUAGUUUAGACAAUAGUACUAUAUUAAAUUUUUUGAGUUGUAUAAUUACACUGCAUAGUGAGUAAAUGUCUUUAUUCCCAGAAAAUUUACACUAAAAUAUAUGGGAAUAAAGAAAAAGAUGAUUGAAAUUUUUUAAUGGGAUCAAAUGAUAGGAGGAGAAUGAAAUCUGGGGAGGAAUAAAUCAUAUUUUAAAAUGUUAUUUUAGUAAUGGUCAAUCUGGAUGAAGGCUAUACAGGAGUUUUUAAACAUUAUUCUUGUCAUUUUUUUAGAAGUAUGAAUUUAUUGCUAUGUAAACAUUUUUAAAAACAAAGAAGCACCUGUAAGAUGCAGUUAAAGCUGAGGAAAGUUUAUUUCUAAAUCUAACACUAUCUUUUAUAAGAGUAAUGAUUUGCCAGACUUCAUUCCCUUCUGAGGUUUCCUUUUGCACCGAUUGGAUGAACCGGAAGGAAACUGUACAUUCUGUGAAUUAGCAAAGUUGCCCGCGACUCCUAUUGUGCAGUAUACGAAACAGCGUCUCACAGUUGCCAGCUCCAUUUGUUAGGAAUUGCCUUGGGGAUAAACACAGGCCAUGACUAAACAAUGAUGUCACACAAUUGUUUUAAAUAGCUGAACCAAAAAAAGCAACUUGUGCCACAUUCCAACUAGGUCAUAAAAAUAUAGUUAAGGAGCUUUGGUCUUAGGAUUUCUCUUAAUCCUUUUAUAACACUUCUAGUGUCUCCAUUCAUGUGGUAUAAUUCAAAACACAGAAAGCUAACCUCUUCUUAAUGUUUCCUGAGAAAUCUGCCUCCUGCCUUCAGAAGAGCGAUGGAGUGCCAACGCAGAGCCCAGAGCUCAUGUCCAGGCCCUUGGGAUCACGUGGAAAGGCCCUUGGUGGCAGAGGACAAGGCAGGAGUAUGAUGAACCACACCAGUGUCGAGGGAGGAAGAGAGGAAGGCAGAAGACACAGAAAGGUGGAGGAGCCGCAGAUGGUUUCAGAAGAGUUUUAAGGAUAGCUGCUGAAACUCUACCAGUCCUGACAAGUUCACAUGAUCUCCCUGUUGCCAGUAAGACUUUUCGCUUUGCUCUAAGUGAUGUCCUGUUUCCAGGGAGGCCUACAGCAAUGAUCCAGCCCGCCAUGGACCGAAACUUGAAACUGUGAACCCAAACAAAUCUUUCCUCACUUUAAGUUGUUAUCCCCAGGUAUUUAGUCACUGUGACAAAAAAACUAAUACAGUAUAUUUGUACUGAAACAUCA